GGAUCUGUGGCUCAGUGAGUAGAGCGCCGGCUUCACAUGCUGAAGGUGGCAGGUUCAAACCCAGCCCGGGCCA
rnacentral:tRNA from 1 species